AGCACGUGUCUCACACAUGCUAAACUUCCGGUACCAGACUUGGCCUAUUCGCAGGAUCCAAAGAUUCAGAUCCCCAAGAUUCUACAAGCGGAAGCUUGAAUUCGGUUUCCAUCCAAAACCCUUUUUUCCCUUCUCCUGCGCCUCUCUCUCUCAACUCUUUACUCUCUCUCCACCUCUGAAACCAAACAAACCAAUCCAAGAGGAGCAGUCGUAAAAAGGCACAGAGAGAGCAUAAGAGCGAAAGAUAAGCCAAAAGGGCACAGAAAUUUAAAAGAAAUGGAGAGGAAGAAGAAGAAAAAAGCCCAGCAGAUAGAGAUAUAAAAAGAGGAGACGGAGAGACCGAGGUAAAGAGAAGAGAAAGAGGAGGAGAUGGGGGUGGACUACUACAAGAUCCUCGGAGUCGACCGGAACGCCAAGGACGACGACCUCAAGAAGGCCUACCGCAAGCUCGCCAUGAAGUGGCACCCCGACAAGAACCCCAACAACAAGAAGGACGCCGAGGCCAAGUUCAAGCAAAUCUCCGAAGCCUAUGAUGUUUUGAGCGACACGCAGAAGAGGGCGAUCUACGACCAGUACGGUGAGGAAGGGCUCAACGGGCAGGUGCCCUCGCCGAGCGGCGGGGCCUCGGGGUACCACGGCGGCGCCGCCCAGUUCCGGUUCAACCCCCGGAGCGCCGACGAGAUCUUCUCCGAGUUCUUCGGCUUCUCCGGCCCGUUCGGCGCGGCAGCCGGUGGGGGCAUGGGGGACGCCGCAGCAGGUGGAUCCCGCGGCGGCGGUGCUCGGUUCCCGGGAGGCAUCUUUGGGGAGGAUAUCUUCUCUGCGUUUGGCGGAGGGAGAAGGGGCGGGGAGGCGUCCGCCAGGAAAGCGCCGCAGAUCGAGCGGACGUUGCUUUGCAGCCUCGAGGAUCUGUACAAGGGGACGACGAAGAAGAUGAAGAUCUCGAGGGAUGUGAUGGAUUCCAAUGGGAGGCCAACUACUGUGGAGGAGAUUUUGACAAUUGAUAUCAAACCUGGCUGGAAGAAAGGUACAAAGAUUACAUUUCCAGAGAAAGGCAAUGAGCUGCAUAACUUAAUACCUGCAGAUCUGAUUUUCAUCAUUGAUGAAAGGCCUCAUGGUGUCUUUAAGCGGGAUGGGAAUGAUUUGAUUGUCACCGAGAAGAUCUCACUUGUUGAAGCUCUCACAGGUUACACUGUACAGCUGACAACUCUUGAUGGUCAAAAUUUAACCAUUCCCAUCAAUACCAUAAUCAGCCCCACUUAUGAGGAAAUCGUACAAGGUGAAGGGAUGCCGAUUACAAAAGAUCCAUCUAAGAAAGGGAACUUGAGGAUUAAAUUUCAAAUCAAGUUCCCCUCUAGAAUUACACCAGAGCAGAAGGCUGGCAUCAAGCGGUUGUUAGCUCCUUCUUGACUGGUGGAAAUUUAUGGCUUUAUGCUUUUUCUUUUUUGUAGUUUUGUUGAAAAUACAACUCUAUAUCGUGACUUUGUGGAGAAGUUCUAACAGUUGCAAGAUGGUAUUUAUUUGUAUUAACUGUAGCAGAACUGUCCUUACAGUUGGCUUACGAGUUGACAGUGUCUGAAGAAUUUGUUCCGUGUGAUUUUUUGACCCUGUGAAUUAGAGAGAAGAAUGACUCUUCUUUCAUGGUGCGUGAAUUGCCGCAGUGGAGCAUUUAGAACUAUGUGCGGAAGAAAAGAUGAUAUACUGCAAAUGUCAGGAAAUACCACAGAUUUUGGGAGCAUGGUUGGGUUGAAGGUACAGAAGGACUGAGGCAAAGCAGUUGGCAGAUACUUGUGGCCAUGCAGCUGGUGUAUGGUAGGAGCUUUGUUGAGGUGAGACAAAGGUACCCAUCCCAGCUGGCUGUGUCCUGAAAUUUGUUACAUGUAAAGAAGCAACAUACAUAUAGAAGAGCAUGGAGUCUUCCCUCAAGGACCAUUUUAGAAUGACCACGUAGAGUUUGAUAACAUUACUUGUAUAUUGCAUCAUUGGAUUUCUCCUAGCAAGUAACUAUAACCAACCUUUGCAAAAUGUUUUCUCCUCAAGUUUUAGUAGGUUUA